CACACUCUCUGUGCUAGCAGGGCCAGUGUUAGACUCGCUGGGGCCCAGGGCACAAAGUAAGGAGUGGGCCCCCAGCCUGAGCCCCACAGCCCAUAACUUAGCUUCUUAUGGCCCCCAGACAAUUGCUCUGCUUGAUACCCCCUAAUACCAGCCCAGGGUACAAGAGAGAAACUGUCCUUCCCCCACAACCCUCCUGCCGUAGAGAGGAAGAAGCUUGUAAUAAAUCCACAUCGAACAAGAUCUUUCUUGCACGGAAGCAUAAACUGCGCCGAGAGAAAUCUUCCAGCCUAGAGGGAGAUAUUUGAAUACAUGAGCCUUGUCUACACUGGUGGCUUUACACAGAAAAUUCCCACUGUUAUUAACAUGGGUUUUUCAGCACCAGUCUUUAUAUCCUUUCAGUUAAAAGCAGAUGGUUUAAAUCAACACAGUCCUGAAAACAGCCACUGGAACAUAAGCAAAGCUCCUUUUCUGUAUGCUUGUGCAGCACCUAGCACAACAGGGCCCCAGGCUGGCUGUCCUAUGUUAAAUAAUAAUAAAUAAUACACCAAAGCUACCAAGGGAGGAGAAUUGGACCCCAGGACUCUGUGGGAAGGAGCUCAAUAUAGAUCUAAAAUGUGGGAAGUGUUUCAGAGAGAGAGAGAGAGAGAGAGAGAGAGAGAGAGAGAGUAAUUUGAAAGGAAAGGUGCCAUGUCACAGAUAUGCUCAGAAGCAAGACUUGUGUGAACAAGUACUGGGAAAGUGGACAACCUGAAGUGGCUACAAAAGUUAAAACAGACGUUGUGGAAUGAUUUUAAAGGGACGCUGUUAAUGGGUUUAGGACCUGACAUUUAGGUUCCAAAUUAAAUCCUCUGCACCGUCCCUAGAUCUAAUCUUUACAAAAAAACCCACAAUUUUAAUUCUGUUAAGACCCCAUCUUCCAUCAUUGAAGUCAAUGGAAGUUUUGUAAUUAUCUUUCAAGGGAAGCAGUAUCAUGCCCUAAGGGAUCCUCUGCAUGGCAGUAAGGCUCUGGGGAGGUAGAUCACUGUGAAGGACCAGGGCCUUAGACUGUAAGCACUUUGGGGAAGGGUGUUGUGUACUCCACAUUCUAUAAAGCACUGAACACAUUUUAAAUACUCAACAAAUAGUGAAUGAAUAAAUACAUUUAAAAAUACUGAUGGAGUCUUCAGCAAGAGAGAAUUUAGGUUGCUGAAAAUUCAAUUUUCCUCAAAUGACAUCAUGGAUGCUCUAAUUUUCACCAGCAGAUAAUGGCUACUAUGAGGCUGUUAGGCCAGUCAAGGAUUGUGGGAGCAGUUGGGCCAUGCCUCCUUAUCCUAGAGCCCCCUGUCCCAUAGCUAGCUCUACACCCCCUGAAAAGGCGUGUUGGAGGAACACUUAGUUCUUUGGUUUUGGGCCAGGCUUCCCGCACUUUUGCACUGGCAGAGGUUUGCACAGAAGGACCUUAUUGAGGCCAACGGAUCUUGUCCAUGGAUUUCUCCUCUAGGAAAGACCAGAGAAUUCUACUGUCUGCUGGUACACUUGGAGCCUGAUCACCUAUCCCUGAUGUUAUGAUAAUACAAAUAAUAAUAAGAAUGAUAGCAACAGCUUUUUGGAUGGACUGAAAAGGAGCAGGAAAAGCAGUAGAUGGACCAGAGAGGAGGCGGUUUCAAUACUGAAGGACCCCUGCCUCAUUACAUGCACAGGAAUGAUGCCUGCAUGCAGAUAAGCAAGCCCAGCAAGCCGCAAAGCUCCCAUUUCUCCAAAACUCUUAUCAUCUUGCUCCUAUGCUGACAUACAAAAAACAAAAUGAUCUUUUGGCUGCUUGAAAUACGUAUGGCAUGAGGUGUUAAAACUGAACCGCUACCAUCACCAAGUGGUCUGCCAGUUUGGAGGAAAAAACCCAAACAGAUGAAGCCCCUUGCAUUCAAAAGUCUAGCCUUGAAACACUGUUUUCACUCAGGAGCUCCAUACAAGUCUCAAAGAAGCCUGAAAUCAGAAUAGGCCGGGCCAUGGCUAUGACUCAUUCUUUACUUUGUGUCAAAAUUUUCUGUGACAAAACAACCUUGGUUGAAAAAUAGAGCUUCUUGCAAAUGGAACAAGGCACUCCUGGCUAUAUGCUAGAAAGAAGAUGUUCAGCUUAUGAACAAUGCAUGUUGAAACAGAUGCUUAGCAAGAGAAUAAACCUGGAAGCUGGACUGCUGGGACAUAAAACACAGACGUCUUUCAUCACCCUGACCUAGAUAAAUAAAUCACUCCUGUGCAUACCAGCUUUCUUCCAAUAGCAUCUGAAACUGUCAUUAUAUCUAAGGCAAUUUUCUAGUCCCUUGAAGUUGCCAAAAUUUAAGUAUUUUUAGCAUCUUCACUGUAUGUUAAACAAAAAGCUCUCUCUAUAGUCAUUUGUGUUCCUCUCUGCCCACAUGAAAUGCAGACAUAAUUAUUUGCUGUGACAAAAUAGUCUAAUGUCAUGAAAUAAGCAGACCAUUGGAAAUUGGGAUAUUCUCAUUUCCAGGUGUAGAGAAUGGUCCAGAUAAAUUUUUCAUGGAAAUACAGUAUAUGCUGACAUUACGGAGAUUGCAUCAGUACAACUCAGGCAGAAUAUGACUCAUGCCUUUAAUAAACUAGAUAAGAACUUUAAGAAUAGAGGCUCAAAUCAGCAAAACCAUGAAGCACAUGCUUCAGUGCUUUGCUGAUUUACUAUUCUAUCACCUUGCCUUUUGACAGGCACACCUGCUUUUUAACAGAUGUAUCUAGAUUUGGUGUAUUUAACAUUAAGACAUACAAGUGUCUAUAUAAAGAGUUACCUUCUUACCUAUUUUCUCUAUGCAUAUAUUCAGUAAUGCUUAACAUUAGCAACAAAAAUAUCAGGCGCUCUGAUGGCUUAUUUACUCCUGCUUCAGAGCCAAUACAGUUUUAAGGACCUGAGCCGGAUUCUUUCUACAUCAUGUAAAAUCAACAGAAUUCUUGACUAAGUUCUUCUUGCAGGUCACGUUGUGGAAACUAAAGCUUACAUUUGUUUUAAGUUUCAAAUUAUUUCAAAUAAUUUGCUUGGAACCUUGUUUUGAGAGGAACAAGAUUGCACUGAAACAAAUAAAAUAAAAUAUAUGAGAGGCUGGUGCUAACAGAGAAUUUGGUCUAAUCAUAACAGUCAAAUGAAAAUUCCAUCCAUUGCUACAUAAAGGUUCAGCACCUUGGAAGAAAUGAACAGCAUACAUCUUUCUAGCUUUCAAGGGAACUGAGGCUUUGAAGCAAGAAUUUGGCCUCCAAAAAUUCCAAAUUUGGCAAUACCAACAAAAUAAACAUUUAUUAGUCAAACAGUUUUGUACCAUUGCAACAGCAGCUCUGAAAUCUCCAGACUUGCUAAAAUAUGCAUGAAAAAUUGAGCAGCAUGCCAGACCUGCUUCAUCAAUAUAAACUUGUUUAAUGAAGGCCACCAGAAAAAAAUACCUCGAUGCUUCAGAGUGAAGAAUUAUCAGGAUUUGUCUUGAUCACACAACAAUGGAACAAAAUUUGACAUAAAAUAAGAAAAGCUCCAGUAGCCUUCUAUCUAAUCCAUCACCUGCAUUAGACUCCAACCCAUAUAUCCAAAACAAGCACGAAGUGUAUAGGAAACUGUGGAGUGGCCUCUGCUUAUCACCUACAUUGAGUAUGCAGCUUGCAAAAUUUAGGUACUUUUGGAAACAGAGAGACACUUAAGACUUUAUAUUAGACUUUUCUUUUGUUGUUUAUUAUUGGAGCUAUGUUACAGUCCCCUGGUUGAGUCACCAGUCUACUUUAUGGGACCCAACCUUUGGAUCCCACAGGCUUCCAAGUCUGUUAGGUCUGGGCAGCUUCCAGACACUGUCUCUACCUCUGGCCUCUUACACAUAAUGCCAGGGUGCAGACUCCCUGUCUGGCACACCCUCAAGUCUCCCUAGUAGCUAAUGCAGACUCUCCCUAGAGAUCUGUCAUAUGGGCAUUAUGGUGUACAGUAUAGUUUAACUCUUUAGGGACCACGUGACAGUUAAAGCAAGGUGUACACAGGCUUUGCAAACAAAUGUCUUACACACACUUUACUUGAUGUCAUAAGAGAUUUACAGGGCUAUAGAAAAAUAACAGACAUUUUGAACACAAUUCCCUCCCUCAGAGUCCUCACCACUGUUUGGGGUCUUUGCAAUUUGGUCAGUGUCGGUCAGGCGUCCAGUUCCCUCUAGCCCUCCACUGCUCCUGCUCAGUCUUCUGGUUCUGGUGAUUAUUGUCAGAGAGACUGUCUGUUUUUAAAAUCAGUAUCUGGCCCUUCUUCCUGUUUCUCUUCUCACUCCAAGUUUUCCAUUCUCCCCACCCUCAAGCAUGGUUGCUGUCAGAUAGUCUUUAAAAGUCAUGGCUCAGUCUGUCAUCCCCAUGGAACUGCUCAGCCUGUUGUGCCCAUGGUACCAUCUGGGUAAAGCUAUUCAAUUGUUGAAGCCCCUUGAUAGCCCUGGUGAGGAGUCACAGACUUCUGUCUUCUGCUAUAGAAGGGAAGUUUUAAUCCACACUGUAAUCAAACAAAAUUAAUAAAAUCAAAUGGCAUUCAUAAGUGUACACAGACAGAUAUCCUAAACUGUCCAAUUAGAUCAGAGUUGAAUCAUGUGACUACAUUUUUCCCCCUCACAAAGAUGGGUUUUUCCAACAAACUGCCAUUACCAGUAAACAAACUUGUAGUGAAGUGACAGUCUGGGUUGUCAGUGGGCAGUGAAACUGGGUGAGAGCAGAGCCCUAAUUGCUUAAACCAUGAUAGCACCUAAUGUAUUAUGGGUCAGAUUCUGCUCCCUACCCCAACUUUUGCUGACUAGCACCUACUCUGCAAACAGCCCCAUUUAUUUUAACAGAACUACUCAUGAUGGAGUGUGGCAUUACUGUUAAGCAUUACAUAGUUAGCAUUAAUAACAAUAAAAUUAUUAAUACAAAAAAUUCAAAGUACAUUCACAGAUUUUAAUUUCAGAAGGGACCACCAUAAUCAGCCAGUCUGACCUCCUGUGUAACAUAGGCCAUAGAAUUUCAUCCAGCAAAGUAGGUGUCAUCCAUGCAUUUAGAACAGCCCAUUCUGAUUACUGUCUUGCUUUUCCUCCUGCCUUAAUUCCAGCCUGGUUUUAGCAGCCAAAAAUUUCAUGAAACCCUGGAGUAGGAGAUUACUGAGCCAUAUCAUUUGAAAGUUGGAACUACAAGGUAUAUGUAGCAUUGGCCUCAAAUCUAACAGUUUCCAAGAAAGCAACCACCAAAGUCAGAUCAGAAACACAGUGGGAGGAAAAUGCAAAGAUGAUCAUCAGAAUUAUGUGUUUUUAAGUUCUGACACCUCAUGAAACAGUAGGGCUAGAAAAUAUGAUACUGCAGUGAUGAGCACCAUAGAAAAUCUAAUGAGGGAAUUAAUAAGUCUGUCUUCAGAGCAGGGUUUGAAUUGUAUGCAGUAAAUAAGACAUGGUGUAUCAUUGAAAAAUGAGGAUAAAACAAAAAUUGAAUAACUGUUCAUUCACGGAUCACCAUUCAUCUGGUGCACUGAAUGAGGCAGGAUCCUGUGGAAAAAAUACUGUAGAAUCAUAGAAUUAUAGAAUCAUAGAAU